rnacentral:rRNA from 1 species
CUGGCUCAGACGAACGCUGGCGGCAUGCCUAAUACAUGCAAGUCGAACGGAGAUAGCAAUAUCUUAGUGGCGAACGGGUGCGUAACACGUGAGCAACCUGCCUUAUACAUCGGAAUAACAGCUGGAAACGGCUGCUAAUACCGGAUAAGACCACACCAAGGCAUCUUGGAGAGGUCAAAGCGAAUUAGCGGUAUAAGAUGGGCUCGCGUCCAAUUAGCUAGUUGGUGGGGUAACGGCCCACCAAGGCAACGAUUGGUAGCCGACUUGAGAGAGUGAUCGGCCACACUGGAACUGAGACACGGUCCAGACUCCUACGGGAGGCAGCAGUAGGGAAUAUUGGGCAAUGGAGGAAACUCCUUACCCAGCAAUGCCGCGUGAAUGAUGAAGGUCUUAUGGAUUGUAAAGUUCUUUAAUUGGGGACGAAAGAAAUGACGGUACCCAAAGAAUAAGCCCCGGCUAACUAUGUGCCAGCAGCCGC